GAUGAAGAACGUAGCGAAAUGCGAUAAGUAGUGUGAAUUGCAGAAUUCAGUGAAUCAUCGAAUCUUUGAACGCACAUUGCGCCCCUUGGUAUUCCAUGGGGCAUGCCUGUUCGAGCGUCAUUUGUACCUUCAAGCUUUGCUUGGUGUUGGGUGUUUGUCUCGCCUUUGCGUGUAGACUCGCCUUAAAAUAAUUGGCAGCCGGCGUAUUGAUUUCGGAGCGCAGUACAUCUCGCGCUUUGCACUCAUAACGACAGCGUCCAAAAGUACAUUUUACACUCUUGACCUCGGAUCAGGUAGGGAUACCCGCUGAACUUAAGCAUAUCAAUAGGCGGAGGA
rnacentral:misc_RNA from 1 species